CAGUAGCCGCGGUAAUACGUAGGGUGCAAGCGUUAAUCGGAAUUACUGGGCGUAAAGCGUGCGCAGGCGGUUAUAUAAGACAGAUGUGAAAUCCCCGGGCUCAACCUGGGAACUGCAUUUGUGACUGUAUAGCUAGAGUACGGCAGAGGGGGAUGGAAUUCCGCGUGUAGCAGUGAAAUGCGUAGAUAUGCGGAGGAACACCGAUGGCGAAGGCAAUCCCCUGGGCCUGUACUGACGCUCAUGCACGAAAGCGUGGGGAGCAAACAGGAUUAGAGACCCGCGUAGUCCCUGUCUCUUAUAA
rnacentral:rRNA from 1 species